AAAAGGGCAGCUGCAGCGCAAAAAAAGGAGAAAGAUUAAGAUCUUGGUACCUUGUGAUGUGAAAUAUAGGUACUUGCUGUUUGCUUUGGCGGAAAUCAUAGAAUGGAACCGUACCCAAAGCGAGGAGUGUUCCUAUGACAAUGUCUCUUUUACGAUCGCGUUCACCCUGGAAGCGCAAAGUUAUCAGCCUCACUGAAAUCAUUGCAGAGGACGCUCACAAAUUAAACCUGAGACUUCGAGAGCACUGGGAUCAGGCUUGACAUUGAAAUUUUCUUUAUCGCAUCAUUGAAUCUGCUACAGUAACGUCCGUAAGAGGGGAAGAAAAAACAAUUACAUAAACGGAGAAGGAAAAAGAAGUAUGCAAGUGAUGCAAGAAUGAGUCGCGAGGAAUCUCAACACUUCUCUUGAUUAUUCACGUAACCUUAAGAUCUACCUUGAUUCUAUUUGUAAGUAUUUAUCUUGAUCAAGCACGACCUAAUUUUUAUCUCGGCAGUGUGUAUUUAAAUACUCGCUUAGAAAAGCUGAAUCGUCUUCUCUUCGUUUUCUCUCCUCCAGAAUAGACAUGCAGUUUUUCUCCUAUCGAAGCGUGUGCUUUUAAGCUCGCAUGUCCACUUCUAGACAAUUGUGUACCCUCUGACGUCGAUAUCACUAAACUCUCAUUCAAUAUCGACGAUGAAACUGUAAAAACGCGUAACUCACCUUGCAGCCUUCCUGUCAUAAUUUAUUUUCUAAAUGGAAAACCAAACUCCAUUGCUCAAUGACAUUUCUCGAGAACUACCUUGAUUUUUUCCUACCUCUGUGAAGAAUAUUCUGUGAAAAUUGCAAGGAAUAAAAUUGGUUUGUUCUCCUCUCAUCUCAUAAAAUAAAAUGGGACCAGAAGUUUUGAAAGACCUUAAGUGAGAAACGCGUUUUUGCAGUUUCGUCGUUGAUAAAACGUCGACGUCGUAUAAAUACAGACCUUAAAACAGGGAGCAAGUUUUUAGACAAUGAUACUUUUUAAUCAAAUCGUUUGGAUUAUAAGUAUGGUAUGUCUUUUUUUCUGAAAAAAAAAAUGAAUGAAAAAAAAAACAUCCCCUUUCUGUGAAAUACUUUCAAAUUUUACUCCUGCUGCACGGCGAGAAUCAACGAAACUUAAUUUAUACGUUUCCCUGAAUCUUUGCAACCCUGUUUGACGUCACGCAAGUAUGACAAGUUAUGAAUCCAUAACAAGUGUCAAAACUUUUUAAAAUCUUAUUUUCUUAAGUAUUUAUAAACUUGACGUAUAAACAGACAU
rnacentral:lncRNA from 1 species